AGACAGGGUCUUGCUGUGUUGCUGAGCUGGUCUUGAACUCCUGGCCUCCCGCCUCAGUCUCCCAAAGUGCUGGGAUUACAGGGAAUGUGACUUCACUGGACGCAGUAUAAAGAUCUUCAGAUGUCCUCCUGCCGGGGAUUGCAGGGAUCACAGAAAGACCAUCGAGGUCCAGGAGCUACCUGCAAGCGGAGAUCCCUCUGGACGCCCCGUGCCUCACCCAGCAAAGCCGGCUCACAACCCUGCGCUCUCAAACCUCUAAAAGGGCUUGAGGUGCCAAUAGGAAAGGAGGCCCGAGAUUGCCACGGCAUACGUGGGCCCCAAGGAGGGAGCCAGGAGUCACUGCCUGCUUGGGCUAAGGGUACCGCGUACGGAAAGGCGGCGGGGACGCGGCCCAGUUCCAGGAGAUGCGCCCAACGAAGAAGCGGAGGAACAGGGUCACGGGAUAGGGCAGACACCCGGCUGCUUUUUGUUUGCUAGACACCAGCGCCAGCCCCUGCCCGGCCCUCCCGGUCUCCUAAGGGUUGGGGGGGUGUCUUAGGCUCCACAGCGCCCCCGACCGCCCUCCUGCACUCCUCACCGUCUCCAUUGCAAGAGGCGCCCGGCUUGGUUUCCUCGCUUUAGGAAACUCUCUUGGGGCAGGCCCCGCCCCACAUCCGGUGCGGCGACGCCACUUCCGCCCACGUCAUGGCAGUCGCCAGACUGGGGCGGAAGGCAAGGAACCCACCCUUCCGGCGGUGGCGGGCCUCGGUAACCGCCCUCCCCCGGGUCCUCGCGGACCGCACGGAUCCGGCUGACGGCGAGGGUCAUGGGACGGAGCCGCUUGUAUUUAAAAUGUUCUUUUUUUAUUUGUCGUUUAAAAACAAACUUGGAAGAAGCAAAAUCCAAAACUUGCCCUUUGCCUCUCGCAACAUAAAUAUGUACAGUUCAGAAUGAUCGCUGAUACAAAACAUGCCAAGGACAGGGGCGCUGAGGGUGGAGGGAGAGAGGGCGCUUUAAAAAAGGGAACCAUUUCAUCCGUUGUUACGAAGGACCAACCUUGCUGUACAGGAUACACACAACACAAAAUAAAGUCUUCACGGGAUUCAC
rnacentral:lncRNA from 1 species